rnacentral:rRNA from 1 species
ACUCAAAUGAAUUGACGGGGGCCCGCACAAGCAGCGGAGCGUGUGGUUUAAUUCGACGCAACGCGAAGAACCUUACCAGGGCUUGACAUGCCCCGUUCAGCCCCCGAAAGGGGGUGGCCCGCGAGGGCGAGGGGCACAGGUGCUGCACGGCUGUCGUCAGCUCGUGCCGUGAGGUGUUGGGUUAAGUCCCGCAACGAGCGCAACCCCUGGCGGCAGUUGGAUGUUCUGCCGCGACUGCCGGUGGCAAGCCGGAGGAAGGCGGGGAUGACGUCAAGUCAGCGUGGCCCUGACGUCCUGGGCGACACACACGCUACAAUGGCCGGUACAGCGCGUAGCGACCCCGCGAGGGGAGGCGAAUCGCUCAAAGCCGGCCUCAGUUCAGAUUGCAGGCUGCAACUCGCCUGCAUGAAGGCGGAGUUGCUAGUAACCGCGGGUCAGCACACCGCGGUGAAUACGUUCCCGGGCCUUGUACACACCGCCCGU